AACGAACGCUGGCGGCAGGCCUAACACAUGCAAGUCGAGCGAAGCCUUCGGGCUUAGCGGCGGACGGGUGAGUAACGCGUGGGAACGUGCCCUUUGCUACGGAAUAGCCCCGGGAAACUGGGAGUAAUACCGUAUGUGCCCUUCGGGGGAAAGAUUUAUCGGCAAAGGAUCGGCCCGCGUUGGAUUAGGUAGUUGGUGGGGUAAUGGCCUACCAAGCCGACGAUCCAUAGCUGGUUUGAGAGGAUGAUCAGCCACACUGGGACUGAGACACGGCCCAGACUCCUACGGGAGGCAGCAGUGGGGAACCUUAGACAAUGGGGGAAACCCUGAUCUAGCCAUGCCGCGUGAUCGAUGAAGGCCUUCGGGUUGUAAAGUUCUUUCGCUCGCGAAGAUAGUGACGGUAGCGAGAUAAGAAGCUCCGGCCAACUCUGUGCCAGCCGCCGCAGUAAUAC
rnacentral:rRNA from 1 species